rnacentral:tRNA from 2 species
GAAUAAGAAGCGAUCUAUUGCAAUCAGUUUCGACCUGAAAAUAUGGUAAAAUUCUACCCUUAUUCU